AGAUGUAGUCCCGCUGCGCGGGCGCAUUACCGACGUCCGAAGGAAGCGGAUGGGGAAGAAGGCGUCUACUUCUCCUUGAGGGGCGCGGCGCUCUGAAGUCGGCGGAGGCUGUGGAAGGGUUAGGGCUCGCUGCACUCGAACCACUGUUCUUCAAAUCAGCGUAGUCUCAGAGUCCGUACAGUCUAAAACUGGAAAAGAUGACGGGGAGCCUGGUGUCGUUAGCCUGGAGGACGGGUUGGGUCGAGGUUCUAGAUGGUUCUGGGGAUGAGAACCUUUAUCCCUGUGUCCCCGACGUUUGUCACAGCCAGGCGAGGUGGCCUGGUCACCGGAAGGAAGAUCGGGAGCUCAACGACAGGGUUUCUCUGUGGCUUUGGAGGGUGUCCUGGAACUCUAUACCAGGCUGGCCUCGAACUCAGAGAUCCGCCUGCCUCUGCCUCCCGGGUGCCGGGAUUAAAGAUUCACUCAGCACAUGGCUCGAAACCCAGACAACUUAUAAAGAAAUAAAGAGACUCCACUGUCCAGUAACAUUCAAGAGCAGACCUGCAGUGGCCUCCUCAGCAGAGAAUCAGGAG
rnacentral:lncRNA from 1 species